rnacentral:rRNA from 1 species
GCUGUAAACGGUGGGCGUUAGGUGUGGGGACCGGUUUGGUUUCUGUGCCGUAGCUAACGCAUUAAGCGCCCCGCCUGGGGAGUACGGCCGCAAGGCUAAAACUCAAAGGAAUUGACGGGGGCCCGCACAAGCGGCGGAGCAUGUGGAUUAAUUCGAUGCAACGCGAAGAACCUUACCUGGGUUUGACAUGCACCAGACGGUUGCAGAGAUACGUACCUCCCUUUGUGGUUGGUGUGCAGGUGGUGCAUGGUUGUCGUCAGCUCGUGUCGUGAGAUGUUGGGUUAAGUCCCGCAACGAGCGCAACCCUUGUCUUAUGUUGCCAGCACUUUGGGUGGGGACUCAUGAGAGACUGCCGGGGUUAACUCGGAGGAAGGUGGGGAUGACGUCAAAUCAUCAUGCCCUUUAUGCCCAGGGCUUCACACAUGCUACAAUGGUUAGUACAACGCGCUGCGAGCCUGUGAGGGUGAGCGAAUCGCUGAAAGCUAAUCUCAGUUCGGAUUGGGGUCUGCAACUCGACCCCAUGAAGUCGGAG